AUAAAUUCAAAUUGGAGGACUCGAACCAAACUUUGACCUAAGUGCAGCCAGAUCAGAUAAAAUUCAUAGAUAUUUUUACUUUCCCUCCGAAAGCGAGAUUGGGUGAGGUCAGAAAAGCAAGAAAUAAAAAACGGGAAUAAAUUUUGCUGAAAUAGAAGAUAGCACCGUAGGAAAGAUCACCGGUCGUUGAAUUUAUAACCGCCAAACCCUAGGACCAGUUCGCUCAAUUCGCUUCCAUUAUGAAUCCUUACGAUCAUAGAUAUUCCGACCCCGAAUCGUACCGUCGCCGUCGCAGUGACCUGAUGGGUCCACCUCAGCCGGUGGGACCGCCAGUGGCGGGGGUACCUUAUGGUCGCAGCGGACCUGUGCCAUAUGGUGGUCCCCCACCGCCUGCUUUUGUGGGAAGAGGUGGCCCCGGACCAGUAGGUGGAUAUCCGCCUUUCGAGCCCCCUGUUGGUAGGUUCGAUAUUGGUCGAGGCAGCGGCACUGGCAGUGGUGGGAGGGCCUUCAGUGGUAGCCGUCCUAAUGGUCAUAUUGGGGAUAGAAGACCUGAUGCAGCUCGUGGCGGUGGUGGAAGGGGCCGUGAUAAUGGACGAGGAGGACAUCGUGGUGGGAGAGUUUCUGGAGGCGGUGGGCGUGGUUUUGCUGGAGGAAGGGGGUUUGACGGAGGCCGUGGUGGUGGUAGAGGAGCUAGGCACGGUGGGGUAGCUUCUAGAGGCGACUUGGAUGAUAUUGCUCUUCCCAAGCAGGACUUUGGGAAUUUGGUACCCUUUAAGAAGAAUUUCUACAUUGAGAGUCCUUCAGUUCAGUCUAUGUCUGAAAAUGAUGCGAUGAUGUAUCGUGCAAGAAGGGAUAUCACUGUUGAAGGGCACGAUGUGCCUAAGCCUAUUCGAAUGUUUCAAGAGGCAAAUUUCCCAGAAUACUGCUUAGAGGUGAUUGCCAAGUUGGGUUUUGUUGAGCCAACACCAAUCCAGGCCCAAGGGUGGCCUAUGGCUCUCAAGGGUAGAGAUUUAAUUGGCAUUGCGGAGACGGGUUCUGGUAAGACUUUGGCAUACCUGCUACCAGCCUUGGUGCAUGUUAGUGCUCAGCCUCGAUUGGUGCAAGGUGAGGGUCCAAUUGUGCUGAUAUUAGCUCCCACAAGAGAAUUAGCUGUUCAAAUCCAAGAAGAAGCUUUGAAGUUUGGUUCGCGCGCUAAUGUAACGAGUACUUGUAUUUACGGUGGUGCUCCCAAAGGACCUCAAAUUCGUGAUCUUCGAAGGGGUGUUGAAAUUGUGAUUGCUACUCCUGGUCGGCUGAUAGAUAUGUUAGAAGCUCAACGCACAGACUUGCGAAGAGUCACUUACCUUGUCUUGGAUGAGGCUGAUCGGAUGUUGGACAUGGGAUUUGAGCCUCAGAUUAGGAAAAUUAUAUCUCAAAUCCGACCAGAUAGACAGACAUUGUAUUGGAGUGCCACAUGGCCAAGGGAGGUUGAAACUUUAGCAAGACAGUUCUUGCGCAAUCCGUACAAGGUAAUUAUUGGAUCAGCAGAUCUAAAAGCAAACCAAUCAAUUAAUCAAAUUGUUGAAGUAGUCACAGAGGUGGAGAAGUACAACAGGCUGAUCAAACUGCUAAAAGAAGUGAUGGAUGGAAGUAAAAUUCUUAUAUUCAUGGAGACAAAAAAGGGCUGUGACCAAGUUACAAGGCAGUUGAGGAUGGAUGGCUGGCCAGCUUUAUCCAUCCAUGGUGAUAAAAAUCAGGCUGAAAGGGAUUGGGUUCUGUCUGAGUUCAAAUGUGGCAGAAGUCCUAUAAUGACAGCCACUGAUGUCGCUGCACGUGGUCUUGAUGUGAAGGACAUAAAGUGUGUGAUCAACUAUGAUUUUCCUUCCAGCCUUGAGGAUUAUAUCCACAGGAUUGGCCGAACUGGUCGUGCAGGGGCUAGGGGAACAGCAAUUACAUUUUUCACACAUGCAAAUGCAAAGUUUGCUCGGGAUCUUAUCAAGAUCCUACAGGAAGCUCGGCAGAUUCUGCCACCAACAUUGUCUGCUAUGGCUCGUUCAGCUGGCACUCAUGGAGGUUCUGGGGGUAACUUCCGCUCUAGAGGGCGAGGAGGCUUUGGCAAUCGCUCGUUAAUUUCAGGAUCUAAUACUAUUCCUCUUGGUUCAAGGAGACCUUGGUAGUGUGGAAUGUUGCAGAUGCUGCCGGACUGGAUUCUUCAAGAAACAAGCUUUAGGGGUAGGGUGUCUAAACUAGUAUGUGGUGAUUGCUAAUUUGCUAUCUGUAUAUUAAUUUUUCAUUUUGAUAUCUGACCAGAUUGAUAUUAUAAAUUAGGAAUUCGUGCAUUGGCUAUUCUAAUCAUCGUGGUCACAAACUUAGUUGAACCUAAAAAGAAGUCGUCUGGUAGAAAUUUGAUAUCGAGUUUUUCAUGAUUUCAUCCAAAAAAUCAACUUCAGUUACACGGAAUACAGAGCUGCUGCCUGCUGCUGGAUGCAAAAGGAUAGGUUUUGACAGCUAGCGCAACCUUUUGGGAAGGAAACUGGGCGAGAAAAUAUUGUAAGUAGGAUGACAAUUUGAUUGGAACCUGGUAUGAUAUGGAAUGGAAUAUUUCAAGAUACUUGGAUUUUAAAGAAAUUUAAUUUGUUA